rnacentral:rRNA from 1 species
UGGGGAAUAUUGGACAAUGGGCGAAAGCCUGAUCCAGCAAUGCCGCGUGAGUGAUGAAGGCCUUAGGGUUGUAAAGCUCUUUUACCCGGGAUGAUAAUGACAGUACCGGGAGAAUAAGCCCCGGCUAACUCCGUGCCAGCAGCCGCGGUAAUACGGAGGGGGCUAGCGUUGUUCGGAAUUACUGGGCGUAAAGCGCACGUAGGCGGCUUUGCAAGUCAGAGGUGAAAGCCCAGGGCUCAACCCUGGAAUUGCCUUUGAGACUGCAUCGCUAGAAUUGUGGAGAGGUAAGUGGAAUUCCGAGUGUAGAGGUGAAAUUCGUAGAUAUUCGGAAGAACACCAGUGGCGAAGGCGACUUACUGGACACAUAUUGACGCUGAGGCGCGAAAGCGUGGGGAGCAAACAGGAUUAGAUACCCUGGUAGUCCACGCCGUAAACGAUGAUGACUAGCUGUCGGAGCGCUUGGCGUUUCGGUGGCGCAGCUAACGCGUUAAG